rnacentral:rRNA from 1 species
CAUAACGACUCUCGGCAACGGAUAUCUCGGCUCUCGCAUCGAUGAAGAACGUAGCGAACUGCGAUACUUGGUGUGAAUUGCAGAAUCCCGUGAACCAUCGAGUCUUUGAACGCAAGUUGCGCCCGAAUCCAUUUGGAUGAGGGCACGUUUGCCUGGGUGUCA